AUUGAAACUACGUCUAAAUUGACCGUAAUUCUAACUAACAACAGUUAAAAAGAAUAAUUUUAGUUAGAAGGUAAGCAUUAGUUAAAAUUACAUCUAAAUUAACCGUAAUUUCAACUGCGAAAGUGAGAAUAAUUUUAAAUAAAAAUAUAAGCUUUUUUUAAUAAAAUAAUAAUUUUAAAAAAUUAGUACAAUAUAAAAAAUAAAGGCUAAAUUACAGAAAACCCUCUUGUAAUAACCCUCUUUUUCACUUUCCCUCCCUGACAUUUAAAAAUCUAUACUUUGCCCCCUUGUAAAAUGAAAAAUGUUCACAGGGAGGUCACGGUGUGUAAAAUGACCAUUUUGCCCCUCGCCAUUGUUGUCUUCUUCCUGAGCUUCCUCAGCCGCCCCUUCAAUCCGCCGCUAUUUCCACCUCAAUCGGCCACCAUUUCUCUCCAAUUUCUUCUCCACCUGCUCCCCUUCUCCUCCUACACUGUCGCCGCCCAUCGAUUUCGGCGACAGUAGGGAGGAUACUAAGAUGGGCGUUGAUGGAGAGGUAGGCAGGGACAACGAGGGCGAAGGCGAGGUGGCGGAGGAGGACGAAAGGGAUGCGGGUGAGGGCGAAGCAGUGGAGGACGGCGAGGCGGCGAGGCAGUGAAGCGGUGAGCCGGAGGGAGCGAAGCAUCAGAGAAGAGGCAGAGGGGUAUUUUCAGUAUAAAAAAAUAUUUUUUAACAGAACCCCUAACGGAAUCCUAACGGUAGGGGUGAAGUGCACAUUUUUCAUUUUACAAGGGGGCAAAGUGUAGGUUUUUAAAUGUCAGGAGGGGAAAGUGAAAAAGCGGGUUAUUACAGAAAAAUUUUCAGUAAUUUAGCCAAAAAUAAAAAAAUACAUAA
rnacentral:lncRNA from 1 species